rnacentral:rRNA from 1 species
ACGAACGCUGGCGGCGUGCUUAACACAUGCCAGUCGAACGAAAAGAGGGAAAGAGCUUGCUCUUUCCGGAAUUGAGUGGCAAACGGGUGAGUAACACGUAAACAACCUGCCUUCAGGAUGGGGACAACAGACGGAAACGACUGCUAAUACCGAAUAAGUUCCAAGAGCCGCAUGGCCCAUGGAAGAAAAGGUGGCCUCUACCUGUAAGCUAUCGCCUGAAGAGGGGUUUGCGUCUGAUUAGCUGGUUGGAGGGGUAACGGCCCACCAAGGCGACGAUCAGUAGCCGGUCUGAGAGGAUGAACGGCCACACUGGAACUGAGACACGGUCCAGACUCCUACGGGAGGCAGCAGUGGGGAAUCUUCCGCAAUGGGCGAAAGCCUGACGGAGCAACGCCGCGUGAGUGAUGACGGCCUUCGGGUUGUAAAACUCUGUGAUCCGGGACGAAAAGGCAGAGUGCGAAGAACAAACUGCAUUGACGGUACCGGAAAAGCAAGCCACGGCUAACUACGUG